GUGCCAGCAGCCGCGGUAAUACGGAGGGUGCAAGCGUUAUCCGGAAUCACUGGGCUUAAAGCGUGUGUAGGCGGGCGAUCAAGUACCUUGUGAAAUCCCACGGCUCAACCGUGGAACCGCUGGGUAUACUGGUUGUCUUGAGCCGGCUAGGGGCGAGCGGAACAGACGGUGGAGCGGUGAAAUGCGUAGAUAUCGUCUGGAACGCCGAAGGUGAAAACAGCUCGCUGGGGCCGCGCUGACGCUGAGACACGAAAGCCAGGGGAGCGAACGGGAUUAGAUACCCCCGUAGUCC
rnacentral:rRNA from 1 species